CUGCUGUCAGCCCGUUUUCUACCUAGAAAGCCCCCAAUCCGAAGAUUCCCCAAGUCGGUGGAGUUCCCUCACGCUCAAGCGUCCCCGAAUGUCUCUCCCCUAAACCACUGGACCCCACGGAGCCUGCCUGGCCAGAGGUCUCCGAGCCUCGCCGAGCGCCCGGGUCCUGAAGUUCCCGGGAACCGAGUCGUGCCCUGCCGCUCGGAGCCCCUCAACCCCACUGCGCCGUCUUGCUCCCCAACACACCCGCGGUGGAAGAGCCUUCCCGCCCCCGGGCGACAAGCUCAGAGCACCCACCUGGCGCCACAGAAGCGUCCGGGACGUGCAGCCGGGCGGUGCGGGCUCGGCGCGCGCUGUGGAGAGGCGGACGGGAGCAGCCCGGUCCACACCUCGUGCGGGAUCCGGGACCCGUACCUUCCCCGACGCCGGCCUCCAGCCCGCGGCGCCGCAGUCGCCGCCGCCGCCGCCGCCGAGAAGUUAAAUGGGGCUGGGACGGGGGCCGCCCCGCCUCUACCGCCCCCUCCGGGCGUGCGGAGCGCGGCGCUGGCCCCGGCCCAGAAGCGGAGGGCGCGCGCCGCCACCUGCACCGCCCGGCAAGUGCACGGCGCGCCCGGGCGCCCGCCCGCCCUCGUGUCGACCCCGCGCCCUCCGCCCGUGCCGGGGACGCCGCGGGCUCCAAGGGAGCGUGUGAGAGGCGGGAGCCGGGCGGCUCGGAGCGCGCGGGGCUGCGGUGACGGCGAGACUCCGCUGGAACGCUCCUCCGCCCGCUUCCUGGAAGCCACUCCUCGCCCUGGGCCGGCCGCCAGGCGUGGUGCCAAGAGCCGGGACUGCCGACGCCGCCACCGCCGCCGCCGGCAGGCGCGCAGGGAAAGGCGGCCGCUGAGCUGCGAGCCAGCCGGGACGCCCCGCCUCAGCCGGAGCCGGGAGCGGGGAUGCCAUCGCCACCCCCCACCCCCAACCUCCCCGAGCCUCCGCCCGCCCCGCCCGGGCCCGGGCGCCGACUCUGCUAAGUCAGGCCCAGCGGCCACACGGAGGUUUGCCCGGAACCGCUGGCUCGUGCCUGCGAGCCUCCGGCGCUCCCGGCCAGGCAUGACCAAAGUCAGAGACCAGUGGCCCCUCCCGGCCUGCCCGCCUUCACCUCCAGCGGCGCCCAGAGCGCACUCUGGGCCUGGGCCAGUGGACUCCGGUGAGCUUGCUCCUCACUCGGACCCUUGGCUACCAGGGACCACCAGCGACCUGGUGCCUCUUGCUAUGAGCCGAGCUUGGGUAACAGAGCUGCGUAGCUGCCCAAACCCUGGGGUACCCAGGUCUGAGAUUUGGGGUGGCGGUGUCAGGGACCUGGAGUGGGGUGAAUUUCCUCUUGGAGGUGGUGAGAAGUAG
rnacentral:lncRNA from 1 species